rnacentral:rRNA from 1 species
UGAGGAAUAUUGGUCAAUGGGCGAGAGCCUGAACCAGCCAAGUAGCGUGCAGGAUGACGGCCCUAUGGGUUGUAAACUGCUUUUAUAUGGGAAUAAAGUGAGGGACGUGUCCCUUAUUGCAUGUACCAUACGAAUAAGGACCGGCUAAUUCCGUGCCAGCAGCCGCGGUAAUACGGAAGGUCCAGGCGUUAUCCGGAUUUAUUGGGUUUAAAGGGAGCGUAGGCUGUUUGUUAAGCGUGUUGUGAAAUGUAGGAGCUCAACUUUUAGAUUGCAGCGCGAACUGGCAGACUUGAGUGCGCACAACGUAGGCGGAAUUCAUGGUGUAGCGGUGAAAUGCUUAGAUAUCAUGACGAACUCCAAUUGCGAAGGCAGCUUACGGGAGCGCAACUGACGCUAAAGCUCGAAGGUGCGGGUAUCGAACAGG